AAAUAUUGCCUUCAUUCAGCUGAACCUUAACAAUGCCCUAGCCUCUCCAUUUUGUUGCUCAGUCGAACCCCAAAUGCUCCCCUAGGCGCCAAUACGCCAACACGAACGGUGACCAGUGUUUUCGAACUUCAAAGGGGUGGUUUUUAGCCUUGAGAUUCCAUUUAGGCUUCAAUUUCAACGAAGUGAAAAGGAACCGAUGGCCGACUCGCAAGGUAUGGGGUACGGGGCCAGUUGGGGCUUACGGCUUGUUGACGUGGAGGCGUGGGCGUGGGCGUGGCUGUGGCACAAGGAGGCCGUACGGUGCUGAAGGCUGGAGGCUGCGGCGCUCCUUGCUGCUAGGGCUUACUAGCUUAGUCAAACCUAGGUUUAGAUUUUGGGCCAUUGGGCCCUAUUGUAAAUGGGUAUUUGGGUUUGUUAUUGGGCUUGUAUUGGUUGUAAUCGGACUUGGACUGCUGGUUUGGUUUUAUUAUUAUUUGGUUUAUGUUUGUAUGGGCCCGGGCUAAAUUGGCCCAUUACAUAAAGAAUAUUUAAAAAAAUUGAAAAACUUCUACAAUAA